CAGACAUUUCAAACGUAGCAAUCAACGUUCCGAGUAGAGGAAGAUGUUUCCGUGGUCGAGAGGAAAUUCAACUUGAUUUUCAGAUAGGGACAUUAACACGCUGCCGUCCGUCACAGGGUAACACUAAAAUAAAAACGUCAGUCGUCAGAGGCCUAACACGUGUGGGCGAAGAUGUCAACAACUGUGAGAAACGCCAGAAGACAAUGCCCACAAGGCACGAUGACAGCGACCAAACAACAAGCGAGCCGCACCAACCAACUCAAGAUAAUGAGUCACCAUAUCACAGAAUUUCAGCACAACAGGAUACGAUCAACCACAGGAUGCAAUUACUUGAACUAACAAUAAUAGUUUCCAACAUACGUUUGCCUCAUCGCAAACCAAAAGGACAUCACCGAUUAAAGUCUUACACAAACGAUAUCUCAUCUACACGGAACACAGACCUAACACAGCAAUUAGGAAACUAAGAAGAAACAGGCAAGGGCAUUAAGGAAAUUAGAACAUGACGCGUUGAUUCCCCUC